UGGUGGCAAGUAAUUUAGUCAUUGGUUGUUCAGAUGUGUAUGCCUUGAUGGACCCUGGUGCAUCUCAUUCUUUUAUUGCUUCGAGAGCCGUUCAGAGGUUGGGGUUGAUGAUCUCUGAGUUAGAGUGUCCUCUCUGGGUCAGUGGACCCAAGUGUGAUCCAUCAGUGGCAGAGUCAGUCUGCCAGUGCAGUCCAAUCUUUGUUGAGGGAAGAUGCCUUUCCACCGACCUUGUGGUUCUAGACUUGACAGAUUUUGACGUCAUUCUAGGGAUGGAUUGGUUAUCUACCCAUGGUGCUACCUUGGACUACAGGGACAAGGUAGUCAGGUUCAGAGGUCA
rnacentral:lncRNA from 1 species